GACGAACGCUGGCGGCGUGCUUAACACAUGCAAGUCGAACGAUGAAGCCCAGCUUGCUGGGUGGAUUAGUGGCGCACGGGUGAGUAACACGUGAGAAUCGUGCCCGAGACUCUGGAAUAACUACCGGAAACGGUGGCUAAUACUGGAUAUGUGCCAGGGAGGCACCUCGUCUGGUUGGAAAGAUUUUUCGGUUUCGGGUUGGCUCACGGCCUAUCAGCUUGUUGGUGGGGUUAUGGGCUACCAAGGCGACGACGGGUAGGCGGCCUGGGGGGGGGAACCGCCACACUGGGGCUGGGGCAAGGCCCCGACUCCUACGGGGGGCAAGAGUGGGGGAAAAUUGACAAUGGGCGCAAGGCUGAAGCAGCAACGCCGCCGGGGGGAUGACGGCCUUCGGGGUUGAAACCUCUUUUAGUAGGGGAGGAGCGGAAGUUACGGUACCUGCAGAAAGAGCACCGGCUAACUUCGUU
rnacentral:rRNA from 1 species